GUAACGACUCAAAUUUAUUAUUCACUAUGUAAGUGUUUAAUUAUUUGAUGACGUGGUUUUUAAGUAAGAUAGUAACUUUAAGUUAUUUAUCGAUGGUUUUAGUUAACGCACGAGUUAGUGAGAGUUAACGCGAGUUGGGCCAAGCUAUUGGGCUUGAGGCCCAAUGGGCCUUGGACUUAAGGUGGGGGGCGCUAUAUGAAGCCCUUAGAGAGAGAAAGAAUUCAUUUUUCUUGUUUUUGGGAGAAGUAGAGAGAAGGGAGAGCAAGAGGAGCUAGGGCAAGAGCUUGAAGGAGAGAUUCGAGGAGCAAUCUUCGUGAGUUCGUCGAUCCAAGGUAAGAGAGUAGAUUUCAUAUUCGUGGGUGACUCGAGNNNAACUUCCUCCACCCCAUUUUCAUUUUAGUUGUGAAUGGAUUUUCUUAAUGGAAAUCGAUUCUAAGGUUCAUAACAUGUUUAAUAUGCUCUUAUCAUGAUGUUUGAACGAAUUUAAUGGUUAAAAACGAAGUUUAUGAAUGAUUAAACUCAAGAACUUUGUGUUCUUGAGAGUUUUCAGUAAAAGUGUUAAAUCCUUACUUUUUCGUAGUAAAAAUAGUAGAUCGGUGAAAUGAAC
rnacentral:lncRNA from 1 species